rnacentral:rRNA from 1 species
UACAGAGGUCCCGAGCGUUGUUCGGAUUCACUGGGCGUAAAGGGUGCGUAGGUGGUGAGGUAAGUGGGAUGUGAAAUCCCCGGGCUUAACCUGGGAAUUGCAUUUCAAACUGGCGGACUAGAGUGCGGUAGAGGGAGGUAGAAUUUCCUGUGUAGCGGUGAAAUGCGUAGAUAUAGGAAGGAAUACCAGUGGCGAAGGCGGCCUCCUGGAUCGACACUGACGCUGAGGCGCGAAAGCGUGGGGAGCAAACAGG